rnacentral:rRNA from 1 species
AACGAACGCUGGCGGCAUGCCUAACACAUGCAAGUCGAACGAGAACUUCGGGCUUAGUGGCGAAUGGAUGGGCAAAGGGGUGGAACAUGCGUGUAGGUUCGGAAUUACUCAGAGAAAUAUGAGCGAAAACCGGAUGAUGUUUUCGGACCGGAGAUUUAUCGACUUUAGUUGGGGCCGCGUUGUUUUGGUUUGUGGUGGGGGUCAAGGCCUUCCAAGGGGAGGUGGCGUAGCUGGUUUGAGAGGAUGAACAGCCACACUGGGACUGGGACACGGCCCCGACUCCUACGGGAGGUGGCAAUGGGGAAUAUAGGACAGUGGGCCUAAUCCUGAGCCAGCGCUGCCGCGUGAGUGAUGUAGGCCUUGGGGUUGUAAAGCUCUUUUACCCGAGAUUAUUAUGACAGUACCGGGAGAAUAAGCACCGGCUAACUCCGUG